rnacentral:rRNA from 1 species
GACGAACGCUGGCGGCGUGCCUAAUACAUGCAAGUCGAGCGGAUCUUCAUUAGCUUGCUUUUGAAGAUCAGCGGCGGACGGGUGAGUAACACGUGGGCAACCUGCCUGUAAGACUGGGAUAACUUCGGGAAACCGGAGCUAAUACCGGAUAAUCCUUUUCCUCUCAUGGGGAAAAGCUGAAAGACGGUUUCGGCUGUCACUUACAGAUGGGCCCGCGGCGCAUUAGCUAGUUGGUGAGGUAACGGCUCACCAAGGCGACGAUGCGUAGCCGACCUGAGAGGGUGAUCGGCCACACUGGGACUGAGACACGGCCCAGACUCCUACGGGAGGCAGCAGUAGGGAAUCUUCCGCAAUGGACGAAAGUCUGACGGAGCAACGCCGCGUGAGCGAUGAAGGCCUUCGGGUCGUAAAGCUCUGUUGUCAGGGAAGAACAAGUACCGGAGUAACUGCCGGUACCUUGACGGUACCUGACCAGAAAGCCACGGCUAACUACGUGCCAGCCGCCGCCGUAAAAC